UACAGAGGUCCCAAGCGUUGUUCGGAUUCACUGGGCGUAAAGGGUGCGUAGGUGGUGGGGUAAGUCGGAUGUGAAAGCUCGGAGCUCAACUCCGAAAUGGCAUUGGAAACUACCCUGCUAGAGGAUUGGAGGGGGGACUGGAAUACUUGGUGUAGCAGUGAAAUGCGUAGAUAUCAAGUGGAACACCGGUGGCGAAGGCGGCAUCCUGGACCGGCAUUGACGCUGAGGCGCGAAAGCCAGGGGAGCAAACGGG
rnacentral:rRNA from 1 species